rnacentral:rRNA from 1 species
AUUGAACGCUGGCGGCAUGCCUUACACAUGCAAGUCGAACGGCAGCACGGGAGCAAUCCUGGUGGCGAGUGGCGAACGGGUGAGUAAUAUAUCGGAACGUGCCCAGUCGUGGGGGAUAACGCAGCGAAAGCUGUGCUAAUACCGCAUACGAUCUAAGGAUGAAAGCGGGGGAUCGCAAGACCUCGCGCGAUUGGAGCGGCCGAUAUCAGAUUAGCUAGUUGGUGGGGUAAAGGCCCACCAAGGCGACGAUCUGUAGCUGGUCUGAGAGGACGACCAGCCACACUGGAACUGGGACACGGUCCAGACUCCUACGGGAGGCAGAAGUGGGGAAUUUUGGACAAUGGGCGCAAGCCUGAUCCAGCAAUGCCGCGUGCAGGAUGAAGGCCUUCGGGUUGUAAACUGCUUUUGUACGGAACGAAACGGCCCUUUCUAAUACAGGGGGCUAAUGACGGUACCGUAAGAAUAAGCACCGGCUAACUACGUGCCAGCCGCCGCCGUAAUAC